UAUCCCGAGUAGCAUGGGGCACGUGGAAUCCCGUGUGAAUCAGCGAGGACCACCUCGUAAGGCUAAAUACUCCUGGGUGACCGAUAGUGCAAAGUACCGCGAGGGAAUGGUGAUAAGAACCCCUGUAGGGGAGUGAAAUAGAACAUGAAACCGUAAGCUGACAAGCAGUGGGAGGAGCGGCUUCGCCGCCUGACCGCGUGCCUGUUGAAGAAUGAGCCAGCGACUUAUAGGAAGUGGCAAGGUUAAGGAGUCAAAUCCGGAGCCUUAGCGAAAGCGAGUCUUAAUAGGGCGAUUAAAGAGUCACUUCCUAUGGACCCGAACCCGGGUGAUCUAAUCAUGACCAGGAUGAAGCUUGGGUAACACCAAGUGGAGGUCCGAACCGACCGAUGUUGAAAAAUCGGCGGAUGAGUUGUGAUUAGGGGAGAAAUUCCAAUCGAACUCGGAGCUAGCUGGAUCUCCCCGAAAUGCGUUGAGGCGCAGCGGUGACUAUGAGCUAUCUAGAGGUAAAGCUACUGUUUCGAUGCGGGCUGCGAAAGCGGUACCAAGUCGUGGCAAACUCAGAAUACUAGAUACAGCCUUCAGUCAACCAGUGAGAUGUGCAGGGAUAAGCUUGUACAUCAAGAGGGAAACAGCCCAGAUCACCAGCUAAGGCCCCUAAAUGGUCACUAAGUGGAAAAGGAUGUGAUGUUGCAGAAACAACCAGGAGGUUUGCUUAGAAGCAGCAAGCCUUAAAAGAGUGCGUAAUAGCUCACUGGUAAAGCGAUAUUGCGCCGACAAUGGCCGGGACUAAGUGACCUGCCGAAGCUGUGAUAUUUGA
rnacentral:rRNA from 1 species